UAUAUCUUUAAAUCACACACAUUCCGUCACAUGUUCCGGGGUGCUUCAACAACACAGAUAACGGCUGAAAAGUGGUUAGUUGUUAGGGGUCGGAUUCAUGGGGGAUGUGGAGGCCUAAC
rnacentral:sRNA from 1 species